CCACUCGCUCACGCUCUCCCCUCCGGGAACCGUCCCACAAGACAAGGGCCUGAGGCCCCGCCCCUCACACGCAACAGCGUACGCAGGCACGCUCACGCAAUCAGAGCCACGGGGGGGUGGGGUCGCUCGCGAGCCAGCCCGAAGCCCCGCCCCUGCACAACACGUAGCACGCACGGCCGCGCGCACGCGCAGGGCCUAUUUUGCGCUCCCCCGGGGCCCCACUCCUCAUUCCCCGUAGGAAGUCACGGAGGCGUCUUCUGGCACUGAGGCGUUUGCUAGAUCUGUUCAACCAAACCCAGCCUCCACCCUCCGCAAUUCGUUGCUCUCCUCGGCUUCCACGCCUGCACGUUCCCGUCCCGUUUGGGGUCUUCUCCCCCUAGGACCCUCCCCGUUGUCCCCCGGCUCAGCUGGACUUAGAGCUGGGCUCACCCGCGCUUGCGCACUUGGAGCUCAGGCUGCAACUCCCAGAAGCCUGUGGGGCGCGGCACGGCUCUGGUCGGCCAGACCCAGACGUGAGGUUGAGGAAUCCCGGCCCGCAGUGGCUCCGACCUGUCCGGUCCGUGACGAAGUGACCCGCGAGAGGGGCGGAGGGAUGUUCGUCCAGGCUGGAAUGGAAAUCUCACUUACGCCUUCAUUGAACGAAGAGCCCCAGAAUCCUUUGCGCGCCGCCGUUCCGUCCGUCAGACUACAUUUCCCAGGAGACCCUGCGUGUGGUGACGGGGAGACACAGGCAUUCAAGACAACCAGAGAAGUGAUGCAAACUGACGUUGCGUUAUCAGCUCGGCCUUGGAAUUGAAGAACGACCUGGGAAAGAAUUGAAUGAGGAGAUGGGAGGUUCAGAAGCGAGGGUCUUUCUGAUUCUUGUUCCUGCCCAGCUAGAUUUAUUUUCUAUCUAUGGUGAUAGAUCCCAGUUGACAACAGAUUGUUCCCAGCUGGGACCUCCCUUGGAGUGGACGAUCUCCAAUAUCCAGUUGGUUCCUGAAUAGGGAGGGAAAAGAGAGAGUCGUCUUUUUCAAUCUGACUUUUCACUCUAACACUACAUCUUUUUUUUUUUAUGAUAGCUUUAUUGAGAUAUAACUCAUAUACCAUACAAUUUACCCAUAUAAAGUACACAAUUCCAUGGUUUUUAGUAUAGUCAUAGAUAUGUGCAACCAUCACCACCAGUUAAUUUUAGAACAUUUUUAUCACCUCAGAAAGAAACUCAUAAUUCUAGAUGCCAGGAUUUUUAUUGGCAAAAAUCUGUGUCAAACUCCAGAAUUUGCCUAUUCUGGAGAUUUAAUAUUGAUGGAAUCAUAUGCUAUGUGACCUUUUCUGUCUGGUCUCUUGUGUUAAUCAUGUUUUGUAUUUUCUGUAAUUUAUGGUGUUUUGACAUCUUGAGGGGCCUAGCCACCUGGGGAGAGACUGCCCCCUCCAGGGCCAGCUAAUUCUUAGAUAGUAAACAACUUCCCUGAGAAUGUACAUUCCAUAUGCAAACCAAUCCUCAGCCCAUAUUCUCACCCACCUCUCAUACACCAAGCCAAUAUUUUCCCUGUCCUAAAUCAACCCAGGGCCAGGUACCAGAAACAAGAGACCAUCCCUAUAGCCCACAGUCCAUGACAUUAUUCAAACCAGCCAGUCCUUGGAAAACUCAAAAAAGCUCUGGGUCAUGCUUUCCCCUCACUCCUUGCUGCCUCUUGACCAAACCUGGUGCUUCCCUCUGUGGCCCUGCAUAGGGUAGUGUGUCCCCUUCUCUUGUAAAUAAUAAACUCUUCUCAUCAAGGUAGUUGUCCCUGUGU
ensembl:lncRNA